rnacentral:lncRNA from 1 species
AUCACCAACGUGCAAGCGUCAUCAACCAGCUCACGCCUCCUCGCCUUCCCCUAUUCCCAUUCCGAUUCCCGUUUCCUCGGUCGCCGCAGCCGCACGUACCCCCGUCCCACCCGGCGGCGCCGCUUUUCCCGUUCCCAAACUUGCUGUGCCCGGUCGGAAUCCUCCUCCUCCUCGCCAUCGGGCCAUAGCUGCUUCUUCUGGCUGCUGCCGUGGCACGGCGAACGACGGACGGCGUCGCUGUCGUGGGGAGGAGGAGUCGCGGUUUCGGCU